GCCGCCGUAGCUCAGUUGGUAGAGCGUAGGGCAUCGGACGAGUUAUCCGAAGGUUGCAGGUUCGUUUCCUGCUGGCGGCA